CAGCUCGGGGAAGGACAUCGUGUGCUGGAGCAGAGCCUCAGAGGCACAGAGGGAGCAAUCACACUGAAACAGAGGGCUCUUCCCCCUCCUUUCUGUAACGAGUGAGGGGGAGGAAGACUCGCUUCAGAAAUGAACCUUUUUCUCCCAACCUCAUGGUCCAGGAUUUCUCAUGGAAGGAAGGAAGGGCUGACACCACUGGCCUGCAGCAGCAGGGGAAAUGGCAAGAGGCAGAGAAAGCAGCUCCAUGAGGCUGGAGGGGGAUUGGUACCCACUGUCCCAGAUGAGCAGAGCUCGGAUCUGUUCUUUUCACACCUUCCUGCCUGAGGUUAUGCCUAUGGAGGACACCUGGGAGAAGCCAUCAUCAGCCCUGUGCCCGCAUCCUGCUUCAGGAGCAGCCGGAGGAGCCCUCCUGGUAUGGAUGUGCUUGGACCAGGCUUUCCCACCAGCCCCAGCAGGGUCCUACCUUCAUAAACCUCGAUGGUGUAUGGGUGGGCUGUUGUCUGGGACCCUCUUUGUUUCUGGAGCCUAUCCUAUACCCAACACACUGUCUGUCCUUGGAGCUUGCUCAAGAGGCUGUGCACUCUCUCGGCUGCACCCAGAAGUGAUGUUGGGAGAAGAGCAGGAAUAAUCACCACAGACCCAAGGUAAAAAACACAAUAAUCAAAGACCAGUCCUAAAAACUCUGCUUUAAUCUUUGUGCUGCCGGACCCAGCCUCCCUUUCAUCUAGGACUCUGCUGUUCUCUCGUUACUCUGCACUCAGAGAGACCACAAGGCUGGAAGAGAGGAAGAAAAAAGACAAGAUUAAACUAAUGAGCAGGUACCACACAAACAAGGAGGAGCCCUGAGCAAGGCUGGUGGACGAGGUGCUGUGGGCACAGACCCGUACAGUGCAUCCCUUCCUGGAGCACCACUGGCUCCGAGCUCUGCUGGAGCAGAAAAUGGGACACAUCCCUGGGAAUCCUGGUCUUGGCCUCACUGGGAAAUUCAAGCUGAGCAGGAUGCCUGUGUCUGCCAAAGAAGGGAAGCUCUGCUGUCCCUUGCCAUACAGGAAUGACUGAAGUGAGAAUCCUGUAUCUUUGCGGAACGAGAGGAGCAUCAUCAUUCCCUGCUCUGUUGGACAGUGAUGCAUCAAACCCCCUGCAAAUGCUGAAGGUGCGGUAAUCCCCUGCCCCUACCCUGACUGCUGUGCUUGUUGUCUGGGAAGUCCAGGUUCAGGCUCUUGGCAAACACAGGUGGAAAGUGGCAUCAGCAACCUCCUUCUGCUGCUGAGGAGUGCCUACUGCAAGUGAUGGCCUGAGAGCUACUUCACUGGUCUAUUUCUGUGAUGGCUCUGAUGAAUGCUAAGGUUUUGAAGAAGGAUGGAGAGGCCUUUCCAUGACCCCACCAAACUCUGUUACCCUUCAGGGACAGGCAAGCCCCCACACUGAAGAACACUUGACUGAUGGCCAAGGCUCUACAUCAUAACCAUUGCCUCCCCGUUCACACUAAUUGUCCUCCUCCUCACCUGCAGAGUGACAAAUGACAUGGGUUUAAUGGAGAUGGGAUUCCCCUGGCACUCCUCAUAAUCCCUCUAAAACCAUGAAUGAGGAUGUAGGCAGGACAGGGCACACAGGAAGCAGCCUUCAAAAGAGACAUUCCCCCUCUACCUGUGUCAUCCCUAACAGUCAGCCCAAACUGAUGUUUCCCCCAGGUAUAUUUCCUCAGCUUAAGCCACUUUGCUUCCUGUAGUAGGAGCAAUAGAGUGAUUUCUCAUGUUCAAAGAGUGCAUUUUGGUUUGGGUCUCUUGCAGAUGAGUGCCUCUUCGCACUGCCAUGGUACAGCCAGCCCCUUGGCAGCUCCCAGGCACUGGUCUUAGCAGAGCUGGGUGAUGGGGAAGGAUGGCAGAAGUGGGAAGUAGAGCAAUGGAUUCAACACCCCCUCCAAAGCCAUCAGCUCAGUCUAUUAUCUCAUUAUGCAGACCAAACAUCCCAAAACUCCUGGUCAUUAACAAACAGGGCAGGUGAUGAGGAUGUGCCCCUAGGACCCACCUCACUGCUGGCCCUCCCUCUGGUAGGGGUGGGGAAAGGAGCCCUGAGAGGGAUUACAGCAUCCCCCUAACCUGUGGGGCUGUAAAUCACUGCCUGCUGAGUACCCAUAAUAUACAAAUUGGAGGUAAGGUUACUCCAGAGAGCCAAUUAGUGCAAAUCUAGGCCUGCUAAUGGCAGCAUGAUCAGAUCCUGCUCUUAUCUCUGGGCAGAUAAGGUGCUGGGAAGCAAUCUCUGAAUGCAAUAGCAGUUAUUAUUACAGCUUCACCUCUGGUCUGCAAAGCCUCUGGGAAGCUCAGUGUCAGGCAGCACGCUGCAGCUCGGGGAGCAGGAAGGAGCUGCAUGUGAAGCAUGGGUGUUGCCAGCUCCAGCCUCUGGUGAGGUGUGGAUGCUCUGGCUGCUGUCUCUGGUUUACACUUCCCUCUACCAGGGUAUAAGGAGUGGGGGAUCCCAAGCAGAUGUGAUUGUUGAGCAGAGCAUCCUUGGGAUGCACUGUGUGUGUGGGAUGUGCAGUGAGGCUGAAGUUGGACCCAGGGCCCUUGGGAGCUGGUGCUGGGUGUUCUGCAUGUGCCAAGUGUGUGCUUUGAACCAACUGGUGCCAGUAAUUGUUGUGAAAUUAGAAGCUGUAUAACACGGGGAACAGAGCAGUAAAGGAUCCUAAGUCUCCCUGAUGGUUCUGGUUGUUAAUGUCUGCCUGUAGCUUAAUUACACCAUCAAUUCCAUUAAAUAGUGCAGGAACUAACUGGGAUUUAAUGAAUACAUGGAAAGGA